rnacentral:RNase_P_RNA from 1 species
CGAACAGUCGCCGUACGAAAGUAUGGAGGAAAGUCCGAACACUCAAGAGCAGGCCGCCGGAUAACGUCCGGUGCGGGUGACCGUGAGGACAGUGCCACAGAAAACAUAACCGCCGAUGACCGUCUUUUGUCGGAACAGGUAAGGGUGCAAUGGUGAGGUAAGAGCUCACCGCAGAUAUCGAGAGGUAUCGGGCAGGUAAACCCCGGCUGAGUGCAAGAUAAAUUGAAGAUUAAGGCUGCUCGCCGCCUUCAGAAAAAUCGCUUGAGCAUACGGGUAACCGUAUCGCCAGACAGAUGACUGUUUAAAACAGAAUUCGGCUUACGGG